rnacentral:rRNA from 1 species
CGUACACACCGCCCGUCACGUCCUGAAAGUGGGCAAUACGUGAAGCCAGUGGCCCAACCCGCAAGGGAGGGAGCUGUCGAGCGUAGGUUCGCGAUUGGGACG